rnacentral:rRNA from 1 species
AACGAACGCUGGCGGCAUGCCUAACACAUGCAAGUCGAACGAGACCUUCGGGUCUAGUGGCGCACGGGUGCGUAACGCGUGGGAACCUGCCCUUAGGUUCGGAAUAACUCCCCGAAAGGGGUGCUAAUACCGGAUAAUGUCUUCGGACCAAAGAUUUAUCGCCUUUGGAUGGGCCCGCGUUGGAUUAGCUAGUUGGUAGGGUAAAAGCCUACCAAGGCGACGAUCCAUAGCUGGUCUGAGAGGAUGAUCAGCCACACUGGGACUGAGACACGGCCCAGACGCGGGGGGGAGGAAGGGGUGAGGAAUAGGGACCAAUGGAGGAGGGCAGGAAGCAGGAAAGCGGUGUGGGGGGAGCAUGGCUAGGGGAUGUAAAGCUCGUUGACGAGGGAAGAGAACAACGGCGGUGGAAGAAGAAGCCCGGCCUAACGCCCGGCCACCAGCGGAGCAAACAAUCGGAGGAGCACCCGUCAGAAC